UUACUCUUAUAUUCCAGCUAGGAUCCUAAAUUAAUAAGAGAAAGCUCCGCUGAGCCAACUAACCAACAAGAGUGUCGUCAGCAAAUCCCAGGGAUAAAUCACGAUGAAGAUUAUUAAAAAUAUGGAUGAACUCAAAGCAUUUCUAAAAGCUGCUGGAAACAAACUUGUGGUGGUUGAAUUUUCAGCAAAAUGGUGUGGUCCAUGCAAAAGGAUUUCUCCUCUUAUUCAUGCAAUGUCACAGCAGUACCAAAAUGUAAUGUUUGCUAGUAUAGACGUGGACGAUGCUCAGGAGUUGGCUGAAAUGUAUAACAUCAGAGCAAUACCAACUUUUCUACUCUUCAAGGAAACCCAGAAGGGAUUGUUCUCCAGAAAACAACUCCAUCAACACAGAAAAGGCCUCAGCCCUUCAGGAAUUGUUACAGGAUACAGUACAUCUGCUUGGGGAGGAACACUCACAAGGUGGGAGCAGGCGCCAUCUUCCCUACUCCCACACAGCCAACAUCUCAGAGUUCCCAAGCCCCAUCGAUGUGAGGAUACCACAAGAAGUCUGUGACCCAGAAGAAUCCCAGUCCUUGAUCUUGGACUUCCAGCUUCCAGAACUUGAUAGGAGCAAUCAGGGGCUCAGAGAAAUACAAGCUUUUUCAAUGGUCUGGAAAUCACAACUCCCCGCAGAGAAGCCGUGAAGCGUCAUCGUGAGGGCUGCGGUCUCCGUGUGCCUGCCCCUGCAGUACCCCCAAGUGCCCAGGACAGGACCUGGCACUCAGCAGGUUCUUCAUCUUGGGCUGGAAGCAAGAUGGCAGCCGAGUUAUCAGGCUUCACAAGUACACAAAAUAGUAUUUGGAGCAAGAUGAGCUCAUUUCUAAAAUGCAGACCUCAGAAAUAAGAGCUAUCCAUGGGAUUUUUGAAUGAGAGAGCCUGAAAGCAGUCCUAACAUGCCUGGAAACUGCACAUGAACAAAAG